rnacentral:rRNA from 1 species
UACGUAGGGUGCGAGCGUUGUCCGGAAUUAUUGGGCGUAAAGAGCUCGUAGGCGGUGUGUCGCGUCGGCCGUGAAAACCUGCAGCUUAACUGUGGGCUUGCGGUCGAUACGGGCAUCACUGGAGUUCGGCAGGGGAGACUGGAAUUCCUGGUGUAGCGGUGAAAUGCGCAGAUAUCAGGAGGAACACCGGUGGCGAAGGCGGGUCUCUGGGCCGAUAACUGAC